rnacentral:rRNA from 1 species
GACGAACGCUGGCGGCGUGCUUAACACAUGCAAGUCGAACGGAAAGGCCCUGCUUUUGUGGGGUGCUCGAGUGGCGAACGGGUGAGUAACACGUGAGUAACCUGCCCUUGACUUUGGGAUAACUUCAGGAAACUGGGGCUAAUACCGGAUAGGAGCUCCUGCUGCAUGGUGGGGGUUGGAAAGUUUCGGCGGUUGGGGAUGGACUCGCGGCUUAUCAGCUUGUUGGUGGGGUAGUGGCUUACCAAGGCUUUGACGGGUAGCCGGCCUGAGAGGGUGACCGGCCCCAUUGGGACUGAGAUACGGCCCAGACUCCUACGGGAGGCAGCAGUGGGGAAUAUUGCACAAGGGGCGGAAGCCUGAUGCAGCAACGCCGCGGGCGGGAUGACGGCCUUCGGGUUGUAAACCGCUUUCGCCUGUGACGAAGCGUGAGUGACGGUAAUGGGUAAAGAAGCACCGGCUAACUACGUG